GCCAUGUUAGUGUUUAGGCGCCAUCUCCACGGACGGAGAGAAUCGCGACGAUAGUCUCGCCGUGCCACCAAAUUCGAUACAACUCUUAAUAGGCCAAUCUACACAGGACGAUACUAUCGCGGACAAUAAUAAGGUCCCUCGCUCGUGGAGAUG